rnacentral:rRNA from 1 species
CAGUCGCCGCGGUAAUACAGAGGGUGCGAGCGUUAAUCGGAUUUACUGGGCGUAAAGCGUGCGUAGGCGGCUUCUUAAGUCGGAUGUGAAAUCCCUGAGCUUAACUUAGGAAUUGCAUUCGAUACUGGGAAGCUAGAGUAUGGGAGAGGAUGGUAGAAUUCCAGGUGUAGCGGUGAAAUGCGUAGAGAUCCGGAGGAAUACCGAUGGCGAAGGCAGCCAUCUGGCCUAAUACUGACGCUGAGGUACGAAAGCAUGGGGAGCAAACAGGAUUAGAUACCCGCGUAGUCCCUGUCUCUUAUAC